rnacentral:rRNA from 1 species
GGGGUGCUCGAGUGGCGAACGGGUGAGUAACACGUGAGUAACCUGCCCUUGACUUUGGGAUAACUUCAGGAAACUGGGGCUAAUACCGGAUAGGAGCUCUUGCUGCAUGGUGGGGGUUGGAAAGUUUCGGCGGUUGGGGAUGGACUCGCGGCUUAUCAGCUUGUUGGUGGGGUAGUGGCUUACCAAGGCUUUGACGGGUAGCCGGCCUGAGAGGGUGACCGGCCACAUUGGGACUGAGAUACGGCCCAG